GGAAGGACGGUGCGGACGGGCCGCUUCGCCAACCCGGUCAGGUCCGGAAGGAAGCAGCCGUAACGAAUGCGGUCCGGGUCGCGCCGGCCUUCCGCC
rnacentral:SRP_RNA from 1 species